rnacentral:rRNA from 1 species
UACGGGGGGGGCAAGCGUUGUUCGGAAUUACUGGGCGUAAAGGGCUUGUAGGUGGCCAUCUAAGUCAGACGUGAAAUCCCUCAGCUUAACUGGGGAACUGCUUCUGAUACUGGAUGGCUUGAGUUUGGGAGAGGGAUGCGGAAUUCCAGGUGUAGCGGUGAAAUGCGUAGAUAUCUGGAGGAACACCGGUGGCGAAGGCGGCAUCCUGGACCAACACUGACACUGAAAAGCGAAAGCCAGGGGAGCAAACGGG